UCUAUGGGCACAAACUUAAAGAACCCAAAUAUCUAAACGGGAAGAUUCAAUAUUGCUCUUAACAAGCAAUGUGCACUUCUUCCUUAGUAAGACGCUGUGAUCCAUUAGAAAUUGAUUGUNUCAACAAUCAUAAGGCUAUCAAAAGAGCGGCGUGAAGUUCACUAAUGCGACUAAUACAGUCUUUUGGCUGUGUCUAUCGUCUGGUGAGCACGCCUGCUUCUGAAAUAGCUGUCUGAUGGAUUUUAAGGAUUGUAUCAUUGAUGUUUCGGCAUCACUCACACGUGAGCAUAGAUAUGUGUCUGAUCGACAGCGGUUAAAUUUGGGAUACCUUUUAGACCCGUCUUGAAACACGGACCAAGGAGUUUAUCUAAUACGCGAGUAAAUGAGUGUGUUGAAAACUUAUUUGCGCAAAUAAAUUAACUGUUUUAAUGGGAUUACGAGCAGUGCAUUUAUGCUAUGCUCCUCCAUCCCGGAGUAUUUUCAUCAACAUAUGCUUUCGGGUAUAUGGAAAAUAUAUCAUGAGCGUACUGGAUAUGACCCGAAAGAUGGUGAACUAUGCCUGAUCAGGUUGAAGCCAGGGGAAACCCUGGUGGAAGACCGAAGCAAUUCUGACGUGCAAAUCG
rnacentral:rRNA from 1 species